rnacentral:misc_RNA from 1 species
AACGCACAUUGCGCCCCUUGGUAUUCCGGGGGGCAUGCCUGUUCGAGCGUCAUUAUCACCACUCAAGCUCUGCUUGGUUCUGGAUCACGCCGGUAGCGGCUGUUCUCAAAUCUAGUGGCGGCCUCUAUAGGUUCUUCGCGUAGUAAAUCUUUCGCAUAGGCACUAUAGAUCAGUCGACCAAAAACCAUCUUUAGGUUGACCUCGGAUCAGGUAGGAAUACCCGCUGAACUUAA